rnacentral:lncRNA from 10 species
AUGUUGGUAAGGAAGCUGGGACUCAGAGAAAUUAAGGGACUUGGUGAAACAGAGAAUGUCAAGGGAAUUGAUUCAGUAGUGGACGGGGAGUCCCUGAAGAUUGUUGAGCAGUGGAGACCUGAUCAAAUACUAAAAAAGUACAUGCAAUGGCAAGAAGAUCAACUAAGAGGUAGGAAAAUUAGCCAGGAUAUCAGGUAACAUUCAAUGAAAAAUGUGAUGAAAGUUGACAUGCAAAUCUAAACAAUAUACAUAUCUGCAUAUAUGUUGUAAGAACACAGACAACUGCAAUAAAAACUAUAAAGAAAAGCAAGCGAAUUGUAAAUGCAAAAAUUCAGACCAGCAGUCAGUUCUGGAAGGGUAGGCAGGUGCAGGUGAUGUAAUUAGGGAUGGACUAUCAGAGGGCUUCCACGGUAUUUAAGUGCUCUAUUCCUGAGUUGCAUUGUAAGAACCUGGGUGGCCAUUGUAUUUUUAGAAACCUAGAUACCUGAGUUUCACAAACUCUCUCAGAUCAUAACGCCCUUAGUGUCUCCACAAAUUUUUCAGUGUCCUGAGACAAAACUAAAUACCUGGGUAGGUUGUUAAGUCCCCGGAUCUUAAAAGUCGUAGAUCGUG